rnacentral:rRNA from 1 species
UACGUAGGGUGCGGGCGUUAAUCGGAAUUACUGGGCGUAAAGCGUGCGCAGGCGGUUUUUUAAGACAGGCGUGAAAUCCCCGGGCGUCAACCUGGGAACGUGCGCUUGUGACUGGAAGACUAGAGUAUGGCAGAGGGGGUGGGAAGUUCCACGUGUAGCAGUGAAAUGCGUAGAGAUGUGGAGGAACACCGAUGGCGAAGGCAGCCCCUCGGG